GCCUCCUUGGCCAAAUGGUUACGGCGUCUCCUUCCUACCUUGGUACAAGGAGAAGAUUGCGAGUUCGAUCCUCGCAGGAGGUU